rnacentral:misc_RNA from 1 species
GAUGAAGAACGCAGCGAAAUGCGAUAAGUAAUGUGAAUUGCAGAAUUCAGUGAAUCAUCGAAUCUUUGAACGCACAUUGCGCCCGCCAGUAUUCUGGCGGGCAUGCCUGUUCGAGCGUCAUUUCAACCCUCAAGCUCUGCUUGGUGUUGGGGACCGACCGCAGCCUCAGUGCUCUGCCGCCCCCUAAAUACAGUGGCGGUCCCGCCGCAGCCUCCUUUGCGUAGUAGUAAACCACCUCGCACAUGGAACGCAGCGUGACCACGCCGUUAAACCCCCAACUUUCUGAAGUUUGACCUCGGAUCAGGUAGGAAUACCCGCUGAACUUAAGCAUAUCAAUAAGCGGAGGA